rnacentral:rRNA from 1 species
AACGAACGCUGGCGGCAUGCCUAACACAUGCAAGUCGAACGAGACCUUCGGGUCUAGUGGCGCACGGGUGCGUAACGCGUGGGAACCUGCCCUUAGGUUCGGAAUAACUCCCCGAAAGGGGUGCUAAUACCGGAUAAUGUCUUCGGACCAAAGAUUUAUCGCCUUUGGAUGGGCCCGCGUUGGAUUAGCUAGUUGGUAGGGUAAAAGCCUACCAAGGCGACGAUCCAUAGCUGGUCUGAGAGGAUGAGCAGCCACACUGGGACUGAGACACGGCCCAGACUCCUACGGGAGGCAGCAGAGGGGAAUAUUGGACAAUAGGCGAAAGACUGAUACAGCAAUGCCGCGUGAGUGAUGAAGGCCUUAGGGUUGUAAAGCUCUUUUACCCGGGAUGAUAAUGACAGUACCGGGAGAAUAAGCGCCGGCUAACUCCGUG